GUGAGGAAUAUUGCGCAAUGCCCGAAAGGGUGACGCAGCGACGCCGCGUGAAGGAUGAAGGCCCUAUGGGUCGUAAACUUCUUUUGCGAGGGAAGAAUUUCUUGCUAUAGGCAGGAUUGACUGUACCUCGAGAAAAAGCAUCGGCUAACUACGUGCCAGCAGCCGCGGUAAUACGUAGGAUGCGAGCGUUGUCCGGAAUCACUGGGUGUAAAGGGAGCGCAGGCGGGUUGGUAAGUCAGUGGUGAAAUUCUCAGGCUUAACCUGGGGACUGCCACUGAUACUGCUGAUCUUGAGUGCAGAAGAGGUGGAUGGAAUUCUUGGUGUAGCGGUGAAAUGCGUAGAUAUCAAGAAGAACACCGAUGGCGAAGGCAGUCCACUGGUCUGUUACUGACGCUCAUGCUCGAAAGCGCGGGGAGCAAACAGGAUUAGAUACCCUAGUAGUCC
rnacentral:rRNA from 1 species